UACGAAGGGGGGCUAGCGUUGCUCGGAAUCACUGGGCGUAAAGCGCACGUAGGCGGCUUUCUAAGUCAGGGGUGAAAUCCUGGAGCUCAACUCCAGAACUGCCUUUGAUACUGGAGAGCUUGAGUCCGGAAGAGGUGAGUGGAACUCCGAGUGUAGAGGUGAAAUUCGUAGAUAGUUCGCAAGAACACCCGUGGCGAAGGCGGCUCUCUGGAACGCAACUGACGCUGAGACGCGAAAGCGUGGGGAGCAAACAGG
rnacentral:rRNA from 1 species